UACAGAGGGGGCAAGCGUUGUUCGGAAUUACUGGGCGUAAAGGGCGCGUAGGCGGCCUGUUAAGUCGAACGUGAAAUCCCCGGGCUCAACCCGGGAACUGCGUCCGAUACUGGAAGGCUUGAAUCCGGGAGAGGGAUGUGGAAUUCCAGGUGUAGCGGUGAAAUGCGUAGAUAUCUGGAGGAACACCGGUGGCGAAGGCGACAUCCUGGACCGGUAUUGACGCUGACGGCGCGAAAGCCAGGGGAGCAAAGCGGGAUUAAGAU
rnacentral:rRNA from 1 species